UAUAUCGGAACGUACCCAAGAGUGGGGGAUAACGUAGCGAAAGUUACGCUAAUACCGCAUACGAUCUAAGGAUGAAAGCAGGGGAUCUUCGGACCUUGUGCUCCUGGAGCGGCCGAUAUCUGAUUAGCUAGUUGGUGAGGUAAAGGCUCACCAAGGCCACGAUCAGUAGCUGGUCUGAGAGGACGACCAGCCACACUGGAACUGAGACACGGUCCAGACUCCUACGGGAGGCAGCAGUGGGGAAUUUUGGACAAUGGGCGAAAGCCUGAUCCAGCAAUGCCGCGUGAGUGAAGAAGGCCUUCGGGUUGUAAAGCUCUUUUGUCAGGGAAGAAACGGUUUGGGCUAAUAUCCUGAGCUAAUGACGGUACCUGAAGAAUAAGCACCGGCUAACUACGUGCCAGCAGCCGCGGUAAUACGUAGGGUGCAAGCGUUAAUCGGAAUUACUGGGCGUAAAGCGUGCGCAGGCGGUUUUGUAAGUCUGACGUGAAAUCCCCGGGCUCAACCUGGGAAUUGCGUUGGAGACUGCAAGGCUAGAAUCUGGCAGAGGGGGGUAGAAUUCCACGUGUAGCAGUGAAAUGCGUAGAGAUGUGGAGGAACACCGAUGGCGAAGGCAGCCCCCUGGGUCAAGAUUGACGCUCAUGCACGAAAGCGUGGGGAGCAAACAGGAUUAGAUACCCUGGUAGUCCACGCCCUAAACGAUGUCUACUAGUUGUCGGGUUUUAAUUAACUUGGUAACGCAGCUAACGCGUGAAGUAGACCGCCUGGGGAGUACGGUCGCAAGAUUAAAACUCAAAGGAAUU
rnacentral:rRNA from 1 species